rnacentral:lncRNA from 1 species
AAGCUUGCAUUUUAUUCCGUAGAGCUGAAGGGCCUCAGGUUGAACUACCUUCAUUUAUUUAUGCAUGAAUAUGAAAACAUGUGAUUAAGUUAGUAUAAAUCUAAAUAAAUAUUAAGAUGCAUAAUUUUGUUGAAAGAAUCAAAAUACAUACCUCCUUAAAGAUACUGAGACCUGCUCUGAUACUGUAGAAAUUCAAGUAAUCAAAUUAAUAUCAUAUAACAAUAUCUGACUUUGGAUGAACAAGUUAUCUUCUAAUAGUAAAAAUAAAAAUAAAAUCCUCAAAAUGUCAAAAUUUUAUGAUAUGAUUACAAAAAAUCAAAAAAUAUAUACUCAAAAUUUCUUUAAAUUUAAAAUGUAAUGUUUUUAUAUGCUAACCUGAUGUACUGUAAUGUUUUUGCUGUGAAAGAUAAAAUGUUUAUUUGAUUAGCA